GCCUGGGUGCGGUGGCGCAUGCCUGUAAUCCCGGCAGUUUGGGAGGCUGAGGCAGGAGGAUCACAGGUUCAGAGCCAGCCUUACAACUUAAUGAGGCCAUAAGCAACUCAGUGAGACCCUGUAUCUA
rnacentral:sRNA from 1 species